GAGUUUGAUCCUGGCUCAGGAUGAACGCUAGCGGCAGGCCUAACACAUGCAAGUCGAACGGUAACAGCAGAGCUUGCUCUGGCUGACGAGUGGCGCACGGGUGCGUAACGCGUAUACAAUCUGCCUAUUACUGGGGUAUAGCCCGAAGAAAUUUGGAUUAACCCCCCAUAGUAUUGAGAUAAGGCACCUUAUUUCAAUUAAAACCACGGUGGUAAUAGAUGAGUAUGCGUCCUAUUAGUUUGUUGGUAAGGUAACGGCUUACCAAGACUUCGAUAGGUAGGGGUCCUGAGAGGGAGAUCCCCCACACUGGUACUGAGACACGGACCAGACUCCUACGGGAGGCAGCAGUGAGGAAUAUUGGACAAUGGAGGCAACUCUGAUCCAGCCAUGCCGCGUGCAGGAAGACUGCCCUAUGGGUUGUAAACUGCUUUUAUAGAGGAAGAAACCUCCCUUCGUGAAGGGAAUUGACGGUACUCUACGAAUAAGGAUCGGCUAACUCCGUGCCAGCAGCCGCGGUAAUACGGAGGAUCCAAGCGUUAUCCGGAAUCAUUGGGUUUAAAGGGUCCGUAGGCGGACUAAUAAGUCAGUGGUGAAAGUCUGCAGCUCAACUGUAGAAUUGCCAUUGAUACUGUUAGUCUUGAGUCAUUAUGAAGUGGUUAGAAUGAGUGGUGUAGCGGUGAAAUGCAUAGAUAUCACUCAGAAUACCGAUUGCGAAGGCAGAUCACUAAUAAUGUACUGACGCUGAUGGACGAAAGCGUAGGUAGCGAACAGGAUUAGAUACCCUGGUAGUCUACGCCGUAAACGAUGGUUACUAGCUGUUUGGUCGAUUGAGACUGAGUGGCUAAGCGAAAGUGAUAAGUAACCCACCUGGGGAGUACGUUCGCAAGAAUGAAACUCAAAGGAAUUGACG
rnacentral:rRNA from 1 species